rnacentral:tRNA from 1 species
AAUUAUUUAGUUUAAAAAAAACAGAUGUUUUGAAAACAUCAAACAAGAAAAAUUUCUUAAUAAUUA